UGGCUGGUUGGCUACGUUCGGGAAGGAUAACCGCUGAAAGCAUCUAAGCGGGAAGCCUGCUCCGAGAUGAGGACUCCUGCCCCCUGUGAGGGGUUAAGGCUCCCUGGAGACGACGGGGUUGAUAGGCCGGAUCUGGAAGCCCUGUAAGGGGUGGAGGUGACCGGUACUAAUAGGCCGAGGGCUUGUCCAU
rnacentral:rRNA from 1 species